rnacentral:piRNA from 1 species
UAGCAUGAGCCACGGUUGAUCAGGGA